rnacentral:lncRNA from 1 species
GUCACUUUUCUCAUUCUCGUCUUUGUAUUUACGAGUUUACAAAGCACCUAGCAUGCUUCACUUGAAUUAACCCAGAGUUCAUUCUUCAUGUAUAUUAAUUCAAUCCAAUUCAAACCCUCCGAUCAUUAUGUCUAUCAAAAUUUCCCAUGUGUUUUUUUUUUUUUUUUGUCUCAAACCUUUAAAUUUUGCGAAAUGGACAUUUUUUGGCCCAUAGUAAGUUGGGAAAACUUUGUUGCUUGAAUUCAAAGUGAGCAUAUAUUAUCGUUAUUGUUUGUAACUCGCGGGUCGAAGAACCUAAACUAGCAUUGGCUUGCGAAUGACAAAUUUAAAGAGAAGUGAUCAUACCAAAUGGUAAAUAGUUUUCCUAACUUAUUGAUGAGUGAUUUACACUCAUUAUAUUAUGCCAUUAAUUUCAUGAUUUUGUUAUCUUGGAGAGUAUUUUAAAAGUGCUAACAAGUGAUUUUGGUGUUGUUUUGUAGAUUGAUGGAAAUGGAGAAAACUAGAGCUAAAAGAGGUCAAAUGAAGGAAAUAGGCAAAAGCUAGCGAAAUUGGAUGAAAUGACCAAAACGUAAGAGAUCCAAAGUUCAAGGAUUAAAAUGAAAUUAAUCAAAAGUCGUGUCGAAACUUGAAAUGAAGAUUCGAGAGUUCUAGAAGCCAAUUGGACAAAGGAAGGUGUCAAAUGGAUCAAAUUUAGUCAAGAUAUGAUCAUAAAUCAUUUUCCAACCAAAAAGUUUUGCGCCGGAGUUUUCGUCUCACAUUUAGACUCAUUUUUGACAUAGAAAAAGAUCGAUUUGGAGAAUGAUUCCUGAAGUAAAAUUGUAGUCCUUUGAAUUAGCUUUCCAACACAUUUUGAAUCACUUCAAUCGGAUAUUGAAUGAAAAAGUUAUGAUAAAAAUACUGAAAGCUGUCCAUUGCAACCGAAGUAGACCUCAGCGCCCAGGCGCUAUCCCUCAGCGCCUAGGCGCCAUGAUGCUGAAAUUUUGACAGAAAGUCAGCGCCUAGGCGCCGUCGUGCGAGAGUAAUUUUUUUAGAUUUUUACCAUUCUUUUUCGGCCCAACUCAUCUCCAAAUCUUUCCCUAAACUUCAAGACAAUAUAAACACAAGAUUGAAGACCUAAAUGAGGGGGGAGCCGCACACUAAAAAUCGAUGGAAUCAAGCCAUGCGUUCUUGACAUAUUGGAGAGAAAAACAAUAAGAAGGGAGAUUUAAAGGAGAAAUUUAAGAAGAUUAACACCAAGAAUUGAAGAUUGGAAGCAUUCAUUGGAAGAGGAAGGAGGUCUUGGUGCAAGAAUUCCACCUUUUCUUCUACAUCUUUAUUUCAAACUCGGUGAUGUAUUCUAAGACAAUUUCCUAUUUUUUUUUCCAUUAUUAUGAGUAGUUAAAUUUGAUUUUAGGGCGAACAAUGUAAUCUUUUGGAAUCCUUUAUUUCAUGCAAUUGAGAUUUUAGUGCUUUUAUAUUUCAUGUGUUGAUUUUAAUGUUGUUCUUAAUACAUUUAAUUACUUGAUCACUAAUUAGAUGAUUUGUGAACAAUGAUUGCG